UUGCAUCCUGCCAGGAAAGCAUCAUUCUUCAUCAACAAGUUUGCUCUAGUUGCAAUAUAGGAAUGGACUAUGCACGAAACAAAACAUGUUUUUUUACAUCAAAUGGGAAUUAUUGUUGUCCGUCCUGUUAAUGCAGUCAGUUGUUUCCAGUGGUCACCAAUCACUUUGUUCACCUUCACAAAUACCCUCAAACAAGGUAAAAGCUAGAUACACAAACCUACACGUUUCCAUGUUCAUUAGUAUUAGGUUUCAUGCUUGCUUAGUCCUAAAACAGUCUCAGACCAAAUACUUUUAGAUUAGUGCAACAAGGCUGACAUGACAAACAGAUACUCCUCCAAAAAUCCUAUUUGCCGAGUCAUCAAAGGCAUCAAAUCACAAUAAAACAACCGACAUAAUUUCAUAGAGGCAUGAAAAGAAAAGGUUUGCAUCAGUAGAACAUGCAAUUGUCUAUUAAGAAUAACCGGACAUCUAUAUAGAGCCCACUAUGUUGUACAAUACAAAUGCCGAGCUGCUAUGAAAUCAGUCUACAUCCAAAAAUAAUUUUAGUAGUAGAUUAGAUGAUAUUAACAUUAACACCAGUCUACACUCUACAGUAAUGUGAAACAAGGUUUGACUAAAUAUAAAGUCCUACAGCAUGAAAUAAAAGAAUAGUAAUAUGAUAGUGACAUUAAAACAUAGCUGAACUAUGUGAAACUGAUUUUAGUAACGUGUAUUUUCUUUAUGUUUUCCCUCUAUGCAAUAUUUUGUCAAAUCUUCCCUCUGACAUCAUAGCGACAAAGUUACAAGACAAAAGAAACCAGCUAAGGGACUAGAUGUGAAACAAUUAUGUUGAAUCUAGAAGAGUACAUGAAGUUAAAUCGAAUUUAAUUCCUGCAUUUGAAGCCGAAGCUGUGGGUUCCCCAGCUUGUUUAGCUGUACUUGUAGACCCAUCAUGAACUGCUUCAAUACUCCCACAAAUAUAUGCUCACCUACUUACAACCUUAUCCCAAUAGCCAACUCUAAUUAGAACCACUUCAAUAAACUUACGCUAAGUAAGUNNNNNNNNNNNNNNNNNNNNNNNNNNNNNNNNNNNNNNNNNNNNNNNNNNNNNNNNNNNNNNNNNNNNNNNNNNNNNNNNNNNNNNNNNNNNNNNNNNNNAAAUCUCUUAAUACAGAGAGAUUAAAAAGCUAUAACACAGUUGGUUUCUGAAUACAAAACUCCCAAGACAAGGACACAUUGCAAAUUAGCCUACUAUUAUGUCAUCCAAUUUAAUCAAAACAACGAACCUGACAAGCAUUUUAAGAAACAACAUCCUGCCAAAUUUUCAGAGAAUGACUUGUAUCCACAAACAAAACAGUAAGUAGUGCUAAAGAAACCCUUUCAUGUCGCCUCAAUUAAAGGUAGUGAGCUAUUAUUCCAACAGAUUUCAUCAAAAGAAAUGACAGCUUUAUAGUAACGCUUAAUCAAAGACUAUAAAACUAUUGCAAUUACUUAAAUCACUGGUUACCAUGGUGAUCACAGGUACCCACAAAUUUCCUGCUGCAUACUAUAUUUAUACCCACAAAUUUCACCAUUGCAUUCCAAUUGAUGACCCUAUUUCCGGCUGCACCUCCCAUGGUGAUCACAGGUACCCACAAAUUUCAUUAGUGAAUUGGUUUGUAACCUGUGUGUUUGAUAUGAAUUGGGAAAACAAUGAUUAAUUUUCUGGGAAUUGCUAGGAUCUUGUUUGUAAAUUAGAACAUGAUUGGUUGUUUUUUUUACCAAUGAUUUAUUUAGUAUUCAGUGAUUGGAGUAAUGGUUUAAAAAAAGGAUUAUCAGAAGUUUUUCUCCUAUUCGUAGAUCAAUGGAUUCUUUUUUUCAUGUUUGAAAUUAGUUGAAAGAUCAACACCCUUAACCCAUGUGUUAUCCCUUUGAAUCAGACUGCUAGAAAUACCAGUAAAACCCAUAGCGAAUCCAUGUUCCCCAAAAGACUUGUUUUUUUACCAGUGAUUUAGCUGGACAAAGUCGUCUAAGAACAGAAAAGACUAGUGAUCAAACAAUAUCUUAUCAUCAUUCUUCUUCAAAAUCAAGGUGUUAAACCUAUACUUACUACAAUUUUUUCCCCUUCCAAAUACAAGUAAUGUGAAUCGGCCCUAGGGACUUCUUCAUCGGGUGAGGACUUUCAACCUCGUCCUCUCCAAAUUAAAAUUCUAAAUUAAAAUCUAUUUACACUAAAAACAUGUCAUGAGUGCAAGACUGAAAGGUAUUCGUACCGGAUGAAGGGCCGACACUUGAGACUUGAGAGAUCUGAGAGUUCGAGAUGAAGGGCCGCCGGCGCCGAGAGUUCGAGACUUGAGGAUUGAGAGAUCUGAGACUCUGAGACAGUGAGAGGUCGAGAGGUCGAGAGUUCGAGAAGACGAGACUUGAGAGUGAGAGUUAAGAGAUCUCAGAUCUGAUCCGAGAGUUCAAGUCUUCCAGAAAAUUUAGUAAAGACUAGUAAAUUAGUAUACUAAUUAAUAUUGAAUGGGCUGACUCUGUGACUCAU
rnacentral:lncRNA from 1 species